rnacentral:rRNA from 1 species
UGGCGGACGGGUGAGUAACGCGUAAAGAACUUGCCCUUUAGACUGGGAUAACAGAGGGAAACUUCUGAUAAUACUGGAUAAGUUAGUAUAUCGCAUGAUAUGCAAAUGAAAGCUACGGCACUAAAGGAGAGCUUUGCGUCCUAUUAGCUAGUUGGUAAGGUAAGAGCUUACCAAGGCUAUGAUAGGUAGCCGGCCUGAGAGGGUGGACGGCCACAAGGGGACUGAGAUACGGCCCUUACUCCUACGGGAGGCAGCAGCA